rnacentral:tRNA from 1 species
GGUGUAGCUCAGUGGAAAGCAUUUGUCUGGGAUGCACAUAGCCCUGGGUAUGAUCCCCAGCACC